GACAGAGGGUGCAAACGUUGUUCGGAAUUACUGGGCGUAAAGCGCGUGUAGGCGGCAUGACAAGUCGGGUGUGAAAGCCCUGGGCUCAACCCAGGAAGUGCACUCGAUACUGUCGUGCUAGAGUCCCGGAGAGGGUGGUGGAACUCUCGGUGUAGAGGUGAAAUUCGUAGAUAUCGAGAAGAACACCGGUGGCGAAGGCGGCCACCUGGACGGUGACUGACGCUGAGACGCGAAAGCGUGGGGAGCAAACAGG
rnacentral:rRNA from 1 species